AUAAACAAACUUCCAGUUGAACUACAUAUUCCUGGUUAUCAGUAUUGCGGACCUGGUACUAAAUUAGAUAAAAGGCUAAAGCGAGACGAUCCCGGAAUAAAUCCCCUAGACGCUCAGUGUAAAAAGAGCACGACAUUGGCUAUAGGAAUAACCAAGACUUUGAAGGUCGACAUCAAGCAGAUCACCUUUUAGAGCGGAAAGCUUGGGAACGGUUAAAAGCUUCCGACGCGAAGUUAGGGGAACGAGCAGCCGCCAGAAAUGGUAUGUUUUUACAGCCAGUAUCCAGUACAAAUAUUGGAGCAUAUUAUAAUUCCUGCGCCGCUACCACCGUCAAAUACUCAAACGCAGCCGCCAGAAAUGGUAGCUUUACAUCCACAAUCCGCGAUGGGUGCAUCAAUUUCCAAAUAAUCCAGCUCAACAACAACCAAAUUUACCACUACCUGUAAAUAACGGCGGCAACAAUCACUUUCAUGCCCCGUUGCCUAGGGGGGGAGAAGAUAUGCAAUUACUAAGAGAUUUUUAUAAAAACGUCUCUCCGCCGUCUUCAGCAGCCAUCGACCAAGAAGCGGCGCCACCACCACCACCGUCGCCAUCUGAUGGCACGAGCCGUCUACACCCCCCAAGAGCUGGCGAGGGUUAUCCAUGGGGUGUCUGAAGAAGAUGCUGACAAUUUUCCAGGCCAGACAAAGAAAUUCCCAACUCCAAAUGGAGCGUUUUGAACGGGAAUUGACUGCAUCACGGCUUCAAGAUGAAAACCUGCAUCGAGAGAUGAAAUUUAUUAUAAAUUACAAGCAAUUUUUAAAGAAUAACUAAUUGUUCUUUUUAAAUUUA